ACUCAUCAACUACAAUAAAUAAUAGUAUGCCAUAAAAAGACGCAAAGGAAACAAAAGAAUUUAAAGCGGAAACUCUAACAGAUACUUGUACACCAGUGUUCAUAGCAGCUUUAUUCACAAUAGCCAAAAGUUGGAAACAAUUCAAAUAUCCAUUGAUAGAUGAAUGGAUCAACAAAAUGUGGUGUAUACAUAACAAUAAAUUUAAUUCAGCCAGAAGGAAAUUCUGACACGUUACAACAUAGAUGAACCUUGUGGACAUUAUGCCAAGUUAAUUAAGCUAGGCCCAAAAGGACAAAUAUUGUAUUAUUCCACUUACAUGAGAUCCCUAGAAUAGUCACAUUUAUAGAGACAUAAAGUAGAAGAAUCAUUACCAGGGGCUAUGAGGGAGGGGGAAUAUGGAGUUAUUGUUUCAUGAGUAAAGGAUUUCUGUUUCAGAUGAUGAAAACGUUCUGGAAAUGGAUGGUGGUGGUGGCUAUGCAAUGAGAACAUACGUAAUGCCACUAAACUGUACAUUUUAAAAACAAUUAAAAUAGUAAAUUUUAUGUUAUGGAUUUCAGUACAAUUUUUUUAAGCCAUGAAGAAGCUUGGGAGGCACUGAGAACAUCUGCCUGGGAUAAUCAAGGAGGGGUUUUCUAGAGAUGGUCCUAUUUGUGCUUGCUCUUCCUGUUAAUCCCUGCAAAUCAAAGUUCAUACUGUGGAUAAUAAGAAGCAAGCAUUCAUUUUCAUGUGGUUCACCAGCUUUAUAUGAUUCCUUAUACAAGAAACUAGUAAGACAGGUUGCUCUGGGAAGAGGCACUAGAAGCCUAGAGGUUUAGGGAUUUGAUGGCCUGGGGUAGAAAAAGACUUACUUUUCACUGUGCAUUUAUUCCUUUUUGUUUAAAAUACAAAUAUUUGCAUUUCCCUGAUCAUUAGUGAUGUUGAGCAUUUUUUCAUAUGUUUGUUGGCCAUUUGUAUGCCCUCCUUUGAGAAUUGUCUAUUCAUGUCCUUAAGCCCACUUUUUGAUGGGAUUGUUUGUUUUUUCUUGCUAAUUUGUUUGAGUUUGUUGUAGAUUCUGGAUAUUAGUCCUUUGUCAGAUAUACAGAUUGUGAAGACUUUCUCCCACUCUGUGGGUUGUCUGUCUACUCUGCAGACUGUUCCUUUUGCAGUGCAAAAGCUCUUUAGUUUAAUUAAGUCCCAGCUAUUUGUUUUUGUUUUUAUUAAAUUUGCUUUUGGGUUCUUGAUCAUGAAAUCCUUGCCUAAGCCGAUGUCUAGAAGGGCUUUUCCAAUGUUGUCUUCUAGAAUUUUUAUAGUUUCAGGUCUUAGAUUUAAGUCAUCGAUCCAUCUUGAGUUGAUUUUUAUAUAAGGUGAGAGAUAAGGAUCCAGUUUCAUUCUCCUACAUGUGGCUUGUCAAUUAUCCCAGCACCAUUUGUUGAAUAGGGUGUCGUUUCCCCACUUUAUGUUUUUGUUUGCUUUGUUGAAGAUCAGCUGGCUGUAAGAAUGGCCAAAAUAAAAAAAAAAUCGAUGUUGGCAUGGAUGUGGUGAACAGGGAACACUUUUACACUGCUGCUGGAAUGUAAACUAGUACAACCAUUAUGGAAAACAGUGUGGAGAUUCCUUAAAGAACUAAAAGUAAAACUACCAUUUGAUCCAGCAGUCCCACUACUGGGUAUCUACCCAGAGGAAAUGAAGUCAUUAUAUGAAAAAGAUAUUUGCACACACAUGUUUGUAGCAGCACAAUUUGCA
rnacentral:lncRNA from 1 species